rnacentral:lncRNA from 12 species
GAGCUGACCAGGAUGGGGGGGGGCACAGGAGCAAAUCCCAGAGGGCCCCCAGGGACCCCCUCCAGGUAUGGCCAGGGCCUCAGGGGCUGCGACCUCUCCCAGGAAAUACGUCCCCGCAGAAAGACACGGGGCGGGGGCUCCGAGAAGCUGCUGGCACGUCGUAGGCAGCAGGUGAAACCCCGGCGCCUGCCUGCAGGAGUGAACAGGUGCCGCCUUCUGUGCAGCAGCAUUAGGCCCUGUUCACAGGUGAUGCAAUGGGAACAGAGGCCUGAAGUCGCCUCCUCCAGGACGCAGAGGAAGCAAAUGAUGGAGCUGAGACUUCAGGGCAGGUUGGGUCACCGCGCGGCCUGCGCUCUUACCCUGACCGACACCGCCGGCCCUGACCUGAAUCAGGGGCAGGUGCUUCCAGGGUCGGGUCGGGGACCAGCUGCUCGCGGGCCUGCACCUUCCUCUGUCAUCUGUGCCAGCCCCAGGGGAGCUCACGGAGUGGCCCUGCUGCUUUGGGUAGGUGGCCUGUGCUAAAUGGAGGGGGGGGGGGAGGGAGGGAGAGAGAGGGAG